UUAUACAUUUUAGUUAUAUAUUUUAACGAAUAUUUAAUAUAUUUAAUAUAUAUUUAAACAUAAAUUACGGAUUUUAGAAACGAAUAUGUAAUUGAAAUGUAAUUAUUUUAUUUCAUUUGGAAUACUUUUAAUGAUUUACGAAAUCAAAAUGUAUUUUCGAAUUUUACGUUAAAACGAAUUCGAUUUUGGAUUCGAAUCCUAAAUACUAAAUUCCUAAGUCUAGCCCAAUUGAAUAAAGCCCAAUAAUAUAAACCCAUAACCCCACACUUCUACUCCAUGUAAAACAAAAAACACAAAACACCAAACCCUUCUCCUCUCUACUCUUCACGUGAAAAACCAAAAAAAAAAAAAAAGAAAAAAAAGAAGAAAAACCCUCCUGCUUCACGUACAACCUCCCAGCCGUUGCUCUCUCUCUCCUCGCCGCGGCUCUCCUCCUCACGACUGAGCCCUCGACGCCGCCACCGCAAAGCACCACCGUGUGCCGCCGUCCACCACCUAGCGCAGUCACCCACGAACCUCGACCACCGCCUUGCACGCAACCACCGCACGCAACCACCGUGCUCCUCCCUCGCCGCAAGCCGCCGCCGUCUACCGGCCAGCCUCCUCUCCCCUCUCUAAUUCUUG